rfam:Triticum aestivum genome assembly, contig: Triticum_aestivum_CS42_TGACv1_scaffold_291109_4AL
GGAGUACUUCUUUCGUCUGAAAAUACUUGUCAUCAAAAUGAUAAAAAGGGAUGUAUCUAGAACUAAAAUAUGUCUAGAUACAUCUUUUUUUAUUCCUAGAUACAUCCCUUAGUUUAGAUACAUCCCUUUUUAUUCAUUUUGAUGACAAGUAUUUUCGAACGAAGGGAGUAUCUC